UACGUAGGGUGCAAGCGUUGUCCGGAAUUAUUGGGUUUAAAGGGUGCGUAGGCGGCCUAUUAAGUCAGGGGUGAAAGACGGUAGCUUAACUAUCGCAGUGCCUUUGAUACUGAUAGGCUUGAAUAUACUUGAGGUAGGCGGAAUGUGACAAGUAGCGGUGAAAUGCAUAGAUAUGUCACAGAACACCAAUUGCGAAGGCAGCUUACUAAAGUAUGAUUGACGCUGAGGCACGAAAGCGUGGGGAUCAAACAGG
rnacentral:rRNA from 1 species